GAAAUGCGAUAAGUAAUGUGAAUUGCAGAAUUCAGUGAAUCAUCGAAUCUUUGAACGCACAUUGCGCCCGCCAGUAUUCUGGCGGGCAUGCCUGUUCGAGCGUCAUUUCAACCAUCAAGCCCCCGGCUUGUGAUGGGGACCUGCGGCUGCCCGCAGGCCCUGAAAAACAGUGGCGGGCUCGCUGUCACACCGAGCGUAGUAGCAUACAUUCUCGCUCAGGGCGUGCUGCGGGUUCCGGCCGUUAAACGACCUUCAUAACCCAAGGUUGACCUCGGAUCAGGUAGGAAGACCCGCUGAACUUAAGC
rnacentral:misc_RNA from 1 species